UUAUAAAAGGGGCUGCUGGUGCGGCAGUUGGGAGAGAGCCGGUAGCCUAUGAAACAGUGAGCAGCAGUGAUGGAGGACAAGGGGAUCUCUUACCAGUAAAGGAGGUGACCCCUGUCAAAAUCAGUUCGGUGAAGUGUGGAAAUCGCUGACACCGAGAGCUGCCGCGGUGGUAGACGCGUGGGUGAGGAGAGACUACAGUCCAGGACGGACAGCGCCUUACCUCUCUCUGCCAGCGCUGAUUGCAUAGGAGGCCAGGAGAGUGAUAGUAUGGAGGGCUGGAGUGCCGGUCAGGCAAGUCGAUCCUCCAAAUUCAGCGGCUGGUAGAAGUAGGGACAGCCUCCCUGAGGAAUCGAAGGGGCUAGGCUACAGCACAGACCCAUAGACCCAAAUUCGGUGUGGUAUGAUUGGUAACAGCACAGGAGGAUGGCGCACAUCGGGAUCCUGCAGCAGGAGAGAAGAUCCCCCUUCGGAGCGCAGCAGACCACGCUGAAAAGGGUGCUUCCCCGGUGCGGUGCUCUGCAUCCCUGGUGGCGCCGAAGACGUGGAGUGUCGGAGGUGGCAGAAGCGCCGCAGCUUGGGAGUACCGCAGACAUGGAGAUACAGAGGAAUACCAUAAUGCUGUAAUUUAUGUGGAACCUCCGUGAGGAACAGAAAACACAGGGACUGAUUCUGAGUGGACGCUGAAGCACAAGCAGCAGCAUCUACUGGUGGUUGUCCAUCUGUGACUUUAUGCAAAUGCCAACAUAAACUCCCUUGUGUACAUCCGUGCGGCCAAAUGUGCAAGGACAGAGAUGACCACUCUCAGCAUCUGUACACACAGUGAUACCGAUUGGUGCAUCCUUAGGUUGCACCAUUGAAACUUGCACCAGCCCUGUGACAGGUGCAGUUCCUCCAUCUGGAUGUGGCCUCCUAUGUCUGUGGCUGUGUGCUGCUGCUGUCACUGACACACUAGCAAGUCUAUCAUAGCACGUCUGUUACACGGACCAUUGUGUGUGCAUUUCUGUCCACCUCCUAGGAAAUCCCAUCACUGUUCCACAACAUUACUGAUACUGUGAUACUGUGUCUCAAUUGCAGCAGCGCCUCUGUGUGUACACUCUGUGUAACUAGUGUGCCGUAUGACUUAUUAGGGGUCUGCGCACAGUUGCAAAACAAUUGCUCAACUACAUGAACAUUGGCGUUAAUUGAGUCUCUGAGCCAGGCCCACGAAGUGGAGGGUCUAUUUACUAAGCAUUGGAUGGAGAUAA